rnacentral:lncRNA from 1 species
CCGCCAUCGAUAAGAAACAAUACUGUGCAGCCGUAUUCAUUGGCCUGGCCAAGGCUUUCGACUCUGUCAAUCACCACAUCCUCAUCGGCAGACUCAAUAGUCUUGGUUUCUCAAAUGAUUGCCUCGCCUGGUUCACCAACUACUUCUCUGAUAGAGUUCAGUGUGUCAAAUCGGUGGGCCUGUUGUCCGGACCUCUGGCAAUCUCUAUGGGGGUGCCAAAGGGUUCAAUUCUUGGGCCGACUCUCUUCUCUGUAUACAUCAAUGAUGUCGCUCUUGCUGCUGCCCCAUAUACUACCCACCACUGCGACCUGUACGCUCUCGUUGGCUGGCCCUCGCUUCAUACUCGUCGCCAAACCCACUGGCUCCAGGUCAUCUACAAGACUCUGCUAGCUGUCAGGGCCAACCCUCCUACCACGACCAGCACUACAAGCCAGAUGGUCAGCCUGGAAUUCAGCUAUCAGCUUGAAUCCUUUGGAUGGGUCAUCGUUGGUCCCUGACGGCUUCCCUCAUGAGAAGAAAGGAGUAUGGUACCAUGAGGGUCAUCCACCUAAUGUCCAUGUCCUCACCAGCACCACAAGCCAUUCAGUCAGCCGGGAAUGCGCACACUGGCUUGAAGAUGAACAGGCACGGCUGACUUCAAUAAACUCGUUAAGGGUGUGGCUGGCUACUCAAUUAGGCGCCACACUUAUCAACUGCUGGUUUCCCC